rnacentral:rRNA from 1 species
GAUGAACGCUGGCGGCGUGCUUAACACAUGCAAGUCGAACGAUGAAGCCCAGCUUGCUGGGUGGAUUAGUGGCGAACGGGUGAGUAACACGUGAGUAACCUGCCCUUAACUCUGGGAUAAGCCUGGGAAACUGGGUCUAAUACCGGAUAGGAGCGUCCACCGCAUGGUGGGUGUUGGAAAGAUUUAUCGGUUUUGGAUGGACUCGCGGCCUAUCAGCUUGUUGGUGAGGUAAUGGCUCACCAAGGCGACGACGGGUAGCCGGCCUGAGAGGGUGACCGGCCAAACUGGGACUGAGAAACGGCCCAGACUCCUACGGGAGGCAGCAGUGGGGAAUAUUGCACAAUGGGCGCAAGCCUGAUGCAGCGACGCCGCGUGAGGGAUGACGGCCUUCGGGUUGUAAACCUCUUUCAGUAGGGAAGAAGCGAAAGUGACGGUACCUGCAGAAGAAGCACCGGCUAACUACGUG